rnacentral:rRNA from 1 species
AAUGAACGCUGGCGGCAGGCCUAAAACAUGCAAGUCGAACGCCCUAGCAAUAGGGAGUGGCGCACGGGUGAGUAACACGUGGGAAUAUGCCUUUUGGUACGGAACAACGUCUGGAAACGGACGCUAAUGCCGUGUGGUCCCUUCGGGGUAAAGAUUUAUCGCCAAAAGAUUAGCCCGCGUCUGAUUAGCUAGUUGGUGAGGUAAUGGCUCACCAAGGCGACGAUCAGUAGCUGGUCUGAGAGGACGAUCAGCCACACUGGGACUGAGACACGGCCCAGACUCCUACGGGAGGCAGCAGUUAGGAAUAUUGGACAAUGGACGCAAGUCUGAUCCAGCCAUGCCGCGUGAGUGAUGAAGGCCUUCGGGUUGUAAAGCUCUUUAGUCCACGAUUAUAAUGACUGUAGUGGAAGAAUAAGCCCCGGCUAACUUCGUGCCAGCCGCCGCGGUAAUAC